rnacentral:rRNA from 1 species
UACGGGGGGGGGCAAGCGUUAUUCGGAAUUACUGGGCGUAAAGGGCUCGUAGGUGGCCAACUAAGUCAGAUGUGAAAUCCCCAGGCUUAACCUGGGAACUGCGUCUGAUACUGGAUGGCUUGAAUUCGGGAGAGGGAUGCAGAAUUCCAGGUGUAGCGGUGAAAUGCGUAGAUAUCUGGAGGAAUACCGGUGGCGAAGGCGGCAUCCUGGACCGAGAUUGACACUGAGGAGCGAAAGCUAGGGGAGCAAACGGG